rnacentral:rRNA from 1 species
UACGGAGGAUCCGAGCGUUAUCCGGAUUUAUUGGGUUUAAAUGGUGCGCAGGCGGGAGAUUAAGUCGGCGGUGAAAUUUUGCAGCUCAACUGUAAAAGUGCCUUCGAAACUGGUUUCCUUGAGUGUAGAUGAAGUAGGCGGAAUUUGUGGUGUAGCGGUGAAAUGCUUAGAUAUCACGAGGAACUCCGAUUGCGCAGGCAGCUUACUAAACCACUACUGACGCUCAUGCACGAAGGCGUGGGGAUCAAACAGGAUUAGAUACCCGCGUA